rnacentral:rRNA from 1 species
CCGGCGACCGGCGCACGGGUGAGUAACACGUAUGCAACCUGGCCGUGACAGAUGGAUAACCGGGAGAAAUCCCGCCUAAUACAGCAUGACGCCGGGAAGGGACAUCCCUUUCCGGCCAAAGGGGGCGACUCCGGUCACGGAUGGGCAUGCGGCGCAUUAGGUAGUUGGUGGGGCAACGGCCCACCGAGCCGACGAUGCGUAGGGGUUCUGAGAGGAAGGUCCCCUACAUUGGAACUGAGACACGGUCCAAACUCCUACGGGAGGCAGCAG